UACAGAGGGUGCAAGCGUUAUUCGGAAUUACUGGGCGUAAAGGGCGCGUAGGCGGCCUCGAAAGUCUGAUGUGAAAGCCCUGGACCCAAUCCAGGAAGUGCAUCGGAAACUGCGGGGCUCGAGUGCAGGAGAGGAGGACGGAAUUCCUGGUGUAGAGGUGAAAUUCGUAGAUAUCAGGAGGAACAACAGUGGCGAAGGCGGCCCUCUGGUCCAGUACUGACACUCAAGUGAGAAAGCGUGGGGAGCAAACAGG
rnacentral:rRNA from 1 species